AUGAAUGUUGGCGGCGUGUCUAAGGCAUGCAAGUCGAGGGAUCGGCCGUAGCAAUACGGUACGGACCGGCAGACGGGAGAGUAACACAUUGGUAACUUACCUUUAAGCCAGGGAUAGCCCACCGAAAGGUGGAUUAAUACCUGAUGGUCAUGCGGGGACAAAAGUCAUUCGCAUGUAAAGAUUUAUCACUUAGAGAGAGGCCUAUGGUCUAUCAGCUAGUUGGUGAGGUAAUGGCUCACCAAGGCUAUGACGGAUAGGGGACGUGAGAGCGUGAUCCCCCUCACUGGGACUGAGAACUGCCCAGACAUCUACGGAUGGCUGCAGUCAAGAAUCUUCCGCAAUGGACGAAAGUCUGACGGAGCGACGCCGCGUGCAGGAUGAAGCCCUUCGGGGUGUAAACUGCUUUUAUAGGGGACGAAUUCGUGACGGUACCCUAAGAAUAAGAGGUUGCUAACUCUGU
rnacentral:rRNA from 1 species